UACGGAGGGGGCUAGCGUUGUUCGGAAUUACUGGGCGUAAAGCGCACGUAGGCGGACUGUUAAGUCAGGGGUGAAAUCCUGGAGCUCAACUCCAGAACUGCCUUUGAUACUGAAGAUCUUGAGUUCGGGAGAGGUGAGUGGAACUGCGAGUGUAGAGGUGAAAUUCGUAGAUAUUCGCAAGAACACCAGUGGCGAAGGCGGCUCACUGGCCCGAUACUGACGCUGAGGCACGAAAGCGUGGGGAGCAAACAGGG
rnacentral:rRNA from 1 species